GCGAGACGACGGGGAGGACGCGUCGGCGAUUCGAAUGUGCGAACAGGAACUGGCGGACGCGCAGUGGCGGAGCAUCGAGGACAUGGCGGUGCGCAACCAACACAUCAUGCCCGGGUCGCACAUGGACCACAUGUACGGCCUGUGCGUCGAGCACGCGGCGGGAAGGUACGCGGGCAUGGGUUGGCAGGCGCUGCCCAUCGGCUUUAACCGAGACGGCACCGUCACGACCUACUCCAACGCCCCGACGCGGGAGAUCAUGGGGAAGAACAUGCGUUCGUGACGUGUUAGCUCCGAGUCAGUCAGUCGCGUGUUGUGUACGUAUUCGAUUAUCAUA
rnacentral:lncRNA from 1 species